GGGCCCGUGUCCAUGUGUUGCUUCCGCGCCGCGUGGCUCGGAGACCUGGAAAUGUGGGAACGUUCGAGCUGCUGGACAGAGCCCAACCCAAGCAGAUCAGCUGUGCUGUCUUUUGCUCUCUCAAAUAAAUGCAGUUAGUUUGCUGUUGGAUUUUGUUUUAUGUCCUUCCAGCACUGGGGAAUUAUCCUGUGGUUGAAGACAUUCCCCUUCACCCGGAGCUGAAACCUGCUGUCAUAACAGAGGGAAAGCUAUUUUCACCACUGUCAGAAGAAGCAUCCGGCAUCUGAGAUAACAGCUUUUGAAAGAGCACAGAAACUGUUAUCAGUUUUGUCUUUUUAACACAGGCAGUUUAAAUAACUUUCACCCUCAGUUCAGGGACGCUCGCUGGGGAUUGCUGUUGCCAAGGAUGGCUUAAGGCCUUCAGGUGGACAGAGAAGACACGGUGUGCAAACAGAAAAAGUUGAGCCAGCAUUUUCCAGCUGAAUGUGAUAAAAAUAAAACAGAGGCAGCAAAAUGCAAAAAAUCCUCACUGAAGGCAAAAAACAACCCGGCCUCAUUCAACAGCAAACAGCACAACUAAACAUUCAAGGUACAAGAAGGGAUGCUACAGAGUUUAACAAAAGCCGAUGUGAUAAAUUGCUUACUUAUAAAUUACUUAUUGCUCGUAAAUAUAUUUUGUAAAGUAUUUACCAGUUAUAGUUCACAUAACUAAAUGUCUCUAAAAUUGUGAGCUGAGUGUUGGCAGUGAUACUCAGAUUAUUACUAAAUAUUACCACUGUGUGGUUUUCAUCAUAUUAUUACCAAAAAUAUAUUUAUUUGUAUUGCUUUAUGAACUACUUAGGCUAAAAGAGAUCUGCUCUAAUUACACUGUGAAUGUGUCAACAGUAUCUCACCUGGGGAAUAUGAAGGGUCUGCACCCUGCCUCCGCUGAUGGCAGUGGGCAUGGAACAGACUUCCCAGGGCAGUGGGCAUAGCCCUGACCUGAUGGAGUUGAAGGAGUGUUUGGACAAUGCUCUCAGACAUAGAGUUUGAUUUUUGGGUGGUCUUUGUGGAGCCAGGAGUUGGACUUGGCAAUCUUUGUGGGUCCCUCCCGACUCAGGACAUUCUGUGAUUCUAUGAAGUUCAUAAAAGAUUCCAAUCUGACACUACAGCCUUUACAUGUGGAGAAGCCUACUGUUCUUACAGCCUGGUCGAUGUUCUGCCUGUAUUUUUCCUUUUUACCCUUGAAGAUUCUCAGAAGACCUCGGAAAUGCCUACACAACUGUUGCUUCCCGCACUGAAAGGAGCUGGCCUUGUUUUACCUGAGCAUGGUCACUGCCAUGCCCCAGUCACAAUGCUCAAAAACACAGCUGCCCCAGGUAUUAGAAAGAGGACCCUACAGGUGUACAAGGUGUAGGAGAAUCAGCUUGGCAACUUCCAAAGCCCUUGAAUUCACAGGGCGUAAGUAUUUCAAGCACUCAACCUGGGUAUGUUACAUUGCACAGUAAUUUGUUGCAGAGCUGCCCAGGUACAUGUUAAAUGGUUCUCAAUGAGCACCAUUCUGAAAACAUUUGGUCUUGUUCUCCGUGUCGUGAUUAUUGACCUCACACAGAUACCUUCCUUCUUUCAGUAUACGUUUCAUUGUUUCUCCUCCGUAUAUCUUCUUUCACCUCUAAAUCAUUUCUCUAAAAACUGCAUUUAAAUGUGAUUACUCCCUAUUUGCGCAAGAAUAUUGCCCCUUAAACUCCACAUUAUAUUUGUGCAAGGAGAAUUCACUGUUGGAUUCCCUCACUCCUUUUUCUUGAGCAAUGAAAGGAAUGAGCCCCCACAAAGUCUCCGAAUGAACACAGCAGUCAUUAAGACAGUGAGUGUAAUGCAGCUUCUCCAACAAAAACACUGGAGGAGGUUAAAAAAAAAAAGUAGGUGGGUAUUUGCCAUUACAAAAGGCUUAUCGAAUAGAGCUAGCAAUGAAUGUGGGGUGGUAUCCCGCGUAUGUCUUUGUACACCUAAACUUCAAGUCUGUGGGAAUUUCCAAAGUGCAAAAGGCACGGCAUCGAAGUCAGAAUUAUUUGUAAACAUGGGAUAGAUGAGAUUUAUAUAACAGGCUACUGCAAAUUUAUGGAUCCGGGAAAGGAAAUAAUUACAAAGGAAAUUGAAGUUAAAAAUAGUCAUGAACCGCUAAAAAGCCUCUGCUUUCACCUCUUUCUCUGGCAACAGGGUGUUCCACCCACUUGCUGUGUGCCAGUUCGUUCUUCCAGAUAACCAGUAGGGCCAGUAAUGGGAGCUCCAGUCUGAAAAAGAAACUUUACUUGGUGAAUGCUUGUCAUUAUAUAUGUUCAAAAUAGGUUUUAGAUUACUUAGACAAAAAGCUUAUACAAUUUGCCUGUAAAUGUAGCACAAAAAGCCUUCUAAUAGCGUGUUUUGGUACAAUGCACUUCCUUUGAGAGCAGAAAUAACUAAAAAUAAGAGAAAUUCAGAAAAGGACAACUAAAGCUAACCUACAAUCUGAUGAAAUUCGUUUCCAUAGAAGGUAAUCAGCAAGACACAGCUGCACUGCCCACUGUACUCUAGGCAACUUUUUAGACAGCCCUUUCUCUCUUAUGUAACAGAUUCCUCUCUUUCCUCCUUUCUUUGCAUUCUUUGCAUUUGGCCCCUUCAUAGCAAGGGCUGAUUGCUAUGCUUCCUUCUGCGCUGCUGGGAGUCAGGUCUCCUCAGCAUCUGCAGCUGGAGUUCUGUGGACAGCAAGCCAGGUGCUUUUCUGCUAGAAGAGGUUUGGGACUUGAGCUCUGCCUUCUUUUGGGUAUAUUGGUUGUGGUGUGCCUCUGGGAUCUGAAAACGGAACAAUCAAUAAUCUCUAUUCUAGAGCACAUUUGAGACCCAGCCAUAAUUUGCCUCUGAUGCAUCUUCUACUUUGUAGAACACUUUUUAUGUUCAAAGUAGGAACGUGUGGAUAAUAAUGUGACAUUGUAGAGCUGUGAUAUAUGAACACUGAAGGAAAUAACUGCGUACACUUACCUAUCAGACAUUUAUUCGUAGGGUUACAGACACCCAAUAAAACACAGUCUAUAUCAGUAAUACAGAUAGACAAACAAAACGAGGAGAAAGGCUGAAGAUGUAACCCCACUGCUCUGGAUACUGAUGUCACCCAUGGUGCACGUGGUGAUGCUCACAGACACAGCAGGGGGCAGGGAGGAGGCACAGGAUCUGUGCGGGAUCCCGUGCACACCCAAAGCUGGGCACAGGUUUUUGAUGUGUUCAGAAGAUAGAGCGCAGGAAAACACAGGAAGUCUCAGGGACCAUAGUAACAGCAAUGACUUCCUCAAUAGCAGCCAUAUCCUUAAUAGUAAGGAAGCUGUAAUCCAUACCAAGAAAGGAAGCUGAAGCACCAUUAGGCUUCCUGAGUGCACAUCUAGUGAGUGAUGUGGAAGAAAGCUGAGGAAGAAGGACUUCAAAAUGACCCGUGAAGGAUAUUGUGGAAAUGUGUACAAGGUGCAGCAUAAGGACACUCACUUGCCAAGACAAAAUGAUAGGAUGUGGUAGGACUACUAGCUUUUUACAUGUUUUCACCUGUCUUAUGCAUACAAGAUUUCUAAUCUUGUCUGAAAACAGUUCUGGUAGAAUUUUAACAACUUGCAGGUAAAGGCUUCUGACUUCUGCAGGCUAAUUUCUGGACUUGCUGAAAUCAGUGUUCAUUUGUAUAGGGCUUGACGCCUGUUUCCUCACAGAAUAAUCUUCAUGAGAGAGGCCUGAAUGGGAUGCAUGAGAUUUUUUCUGUAAAUUUUACUAAACGGCACCUGUCACAAAAAUACAAAUUUUCUUAUCUGUGUCUAAAUAAAUGAUUUGUGUCUAAAUAAAUAACUACAUCAUUUAGUGUAGGGGAAUAUGACAGCGUAUUCUUUAAGUAAGGUAAAUAUUUUGGUACAGAUCUCAAUUAGGGAUUUACUGAAUAAUAACUCAGUCCUUCUCUGUGUGUCCUAUAUCCAAGUCAGAUCACAGAUCUGAUGUGAACUCUUUGCACAGAGUGGAGGAUUUCUUCCAGCUCAGAGGGAAUCUGUUUCAAAAUCAGUUUUUCGGUACAACAGGACAUAAGCAACUUCCAUUAAAGGACAGACAGCCUUCACUGAAGCUACUUAGAGGAAGCUGCUCUGCAAGAAAAAGAAGAUCCUGUGAGCACUCAAGGUCAAGUACGAAAUAAAUUAAUUCUGUAAUUGCUAACAAGCAACUUCCAGCUCUGGCAAAUUAUAUACCUAAUAAAAAUGAUUAAUUUGUGUUUGUUUUUGGAAGGACUGCCUGUGAUUUUGUCCUCAGAUGAAAAGAACUAAAGCACUUAAGAUUUUACCACUAAGCUAAAGCAAGGGUGUUUCUGGGCCACUAACUGCUGACUUUUGACUCAUACUCUAGAAAGCUUCUGCAGAUAUUUUGGAUGAAGGAAUAGGAUGUUUAUUUUCAUAUACUUAUGCCUAAACUCAGUGUUUGUUUUGAAUGCAGUUGGAAUGAACUCUUAUAGUAAACACUGAUGUCAUUUAGAGAAUGCGUAAACCAAGCAGUACUUCCAUUUGUAGGCUCACUGCUCUAUUCUCUUCAAAGCGCUCAAUGAGGCACAACUGGAGACAGAAGGCAGUUCCAUGAAGCACAGCUCCUGCUUUUUCCCUGCUGUUCUUGGUCCAGCAACUGAUGACAACGAAUCAGCUUCUAGCUCCUUGACUGCAGACGUGCGAUCCUCCUUACCCUGCUGGCAGGAGACUUUUGCAACCCCCUGAUGCUUUUGGGAGUUUCAAGGUCCUGUCAGCUGGAGCAGUGAAUGCCCGCAUCCCCUGGAAACUGCAGUAGUAUCCUGCUGCCUUAUAAAGGUUGAUAAUUGGAGAUGUAACAUCAUACACUGCAAAGAAUUAAGCAUGAAUGAUUCUAGAUCAUGAAAAAAAUCUGGGCAAGCUUGAAAAGCUCUUCCCCAGGGACAACAUUCCAGCUGGGGCUGAUGGUGCUGUGUGUGUGCACAUAAUGCCAUCCAUCAUGAGCUGCCUGUUUUCCCAACAGUGUGAGUGGGACUCUGGUACAACCCAGAGAGGACGUAGAGGAUGUGGUGAAAGAAACCCCUGACCUUGCUCCCUUCUAUGAAUUUUGAGUCUAGAUAAGACAAUCAUCUUGUUAUACUACUUCUUAGGAGUCUAAUCAUAUUACAGGACAUUGUAUUUCACCUGUUAGCUUCAAGACACCUUGUGAAUGGCUGAACGUGUCAGGAAAAGCUCUCUUGUGCUUCAGAUGUGAAUCAUUGACUGGAUUGUAAAAGGCAAAGGCAAUCAAUCAACUCCAAUCUGAGAGUUGUUGUUCAUGUGGGUAACGUAUCUUGAAGCUUUAAUCAUCUGCGUACCCUUUCGGAAGUAAUUUCUACAAAUAAAUUCCAAAUGUCAGAUAUAUUUCAUCAUUUAGCUUCAGCAUAUGGAAGUAAAAGUUGAAAGAAGCAAUUCACGGUCAUUUCUUACUGGGAAGAAAAUGAAGGGAAAAAUCCUUGCAGAAGAAAGAGAAGAAAAAGGAAGCCGCAGGAAAGUAUUGCGAGCUGAUUUGUGGACACUCCCCCAAAAGGUCAUGGGAGGUAAUGGAAGGAAUGAAACUGGUGAUGGAAAUCAGCAACACAGACAAACAUCCAAAAAAAUACAAUCUUCAAGGGAGCAGCAGGCAAUCAGGCAGGGGUUCUGUGAGAAUCCACAAACCUCAUGUCAGUGCUAAAAUAGGACAGCCAUCAGCUCUGCUCCACAUCACGCCCACGUGCAAAAGAGCCCAGCACCCAGAGCUCCAUCACAACCAGCUGCAGUUUGAGCACACACAGCCUCAGGCUUUGGCAAAAGCGCGUGAAGACCAGGUUUAUUUGGGCAGGGCUGGAUGAUGCUGGCAGAGAAGCAUCCACCCUUCGGUGUGAAAGUGGAAGGAGCUGAACUUUGAACUCUGAGAUAAGCAAAUCUGAACAUGAAAUAAGACAGUGGCAUGUUGGACUUAAGCUGGCCUUUAUAUAAAAACAGUGCACAGAAUGCCUUCUGUUCUUGAUUUUAUGUUCCACAAGUAGACUCUAAGACUCUGCUUUUCCUCCCCACCACUGGAGCUGUAUUAAGGCCCAGCAAUUCGGCAAUCCUGGCUCUUCUGAUCCUGGUAAUUUUAAAUGGUGUUGUGACCCUAAGAACAAAAGCAGUUUCCCUCUCCACUGUAUUUUGGUUGUUCUGGGACACGUUCUGUCCUGUAAUCAAUAGAGUUUAAAAAUAAAUUUACGUUGUGCUUUUCAAAC